rnacentral:rRNA from 1 species
UUAAAUGGGGACCUGUAUGAACGGCACAACGAGGGCUUGACUGUCUCCUUUUUUAAGUCAAUGAAAUUGAUCUCCCCGUGAAGAAGCGGGGAUGAAACCAUAAGACGAGAAGACCCUGUGGAGCUUUAGACACUAAAACAGCCCAUGUUAUAAUGGCCCCCUUACAAAGGAUUGAACUGAGUGAGGCCUGUCUUGAUGUCUUAGGUUGGGGCGACCCCGAGGAAUGAAAUAACCCCCGGGUGGACGGGGCACUAUACCCUAAAAACCAAGAGCCACCCCUCUAAUUAACAGAACUUCUGACCAAUUNGAUCCGGCNANACCGNUUAGCGGACCAGUUACCCCAGGGAUANCAGCGNAA